UGUUGGCUAAUUAAAGGGGCCCGAGGAGCGACGCGUGAGGCCGGCGCACACGAUUAACGACUCUGCGCUCAGGCUCGCUUUAAGACGAUCAGGCUGCUGUGGACCUCCCGAACCUGCGGCAAAAAGAAAAAAAGAUCCCACCCCAUGACCGCUCAACUACUACUUCCCCCCGAUCCCCCACCCCCCCCCCGGAUCCCACCCCCCCCGAGCCCCCGGCGGCCCUUCCCCCCCUCCGCCGCCAACACGCCGGAAGCUACCCCCACCACCGAAUCCCUACCUCCCCGCCGCCCUGCGCCCUGCUUCCUGGCUGCCGGCGCCGCCAUCCUCCUCGCCACCGCCAUCCCUUGGCUCGCCGCCACCAACAUCCACCCGGUGCGGCCGCCUCCAGCAUCCGCGGGCUCGACCUCCCACAGACGAGCUAUGGCCACCGGCGCGACCCAGCCCUCGCGCGGCGCCACCGGUCUGAAUCUUCACGCCCACCCUCGGCUGCUCCCGGGGAGGUCCCUCGCCACCACGCCGCUUUCUCCCUCUGACGCUACAGCGCACAAGCCGUUCACGUUCGUCACCCAUGUCCGUCCAAGUACUGGUCACCAUGUGCUCCUACCCGAACUUCAUGGGGUACCCGUGGCGGCCUUCACUGCGUGCGUCCGCCCCUCAUGUCUUCAUCACCAGAGCCGACGCCUCGAUCCUUGGUGGCUCCUUCCCCGUCGGAUUGCUCGGGGAUCCAGCUUAUGGACCCCGUCUACAUCGUCUCAACUAUGAGAAGUCCAAAGACAGCAGCGCGUGCAGGAAUCGCUUCACCGACAACGCGUUCCGGGCCACAAGCGUAGCUCUCGGUAGGGCGAGGACGGGCGCCCGCCCUACCUUGAUUUUCCGGGGAAGAAAAUUACGUAUAGCCGUCCAACGCAGUAUGAAGCCAGCCGGAGCUUACCUAGCUGCACGGAGCGGCGUGCAGAGCCGGCGGACGGCCGCAGUUGCGCGGGCCAGUGGAAAGUGAGAGCAGAGAGGCCGGUGGCCAGCUGGAGCAGCGAGGGCGGCGGUCAGCGUCCACACCCCGCCUGUGACGAGGACAUGACUACCUUGGAUACGACCAAAAAUAUUGCAUACAUGCAUAUUUGUCAGGUGAUUUCUAAUGCAAACUAUUCAAUAAUCUAUUUAUGUUAUCCAGAACAAAAAUACUUCACACACUUUUGUGUUUUGUCUAAUUGUAGGUGUAUGGGACAUUUGUACAAUCCACAUAUGAAGAUAAGGGAAAA